AACUAUUGUGCCAGUUUUUGAAAAUUUAUCAAACAGGAUAGCCAUUGGAAAGACAGUGAUCCAAAAUUCACAAGUUAUAAAGUCUGUCGCGAAGAGUGAAAAUGAAUUGUUUAGAGACUCUCGAUAUUGAAUUGGUGAAUCAUCAAUUCAAGCAACCAGAAUUUCUAACAUUGAUCCUCUUAGAGAUUAUGAAGUGAUCGAAGUCGUUGAUGAUAUCGAUUAUGAACCAGAAGAUAUUGAAAUACCACAUGAGUAUAAUGGUCUAAA